CAUAGUUGACAACUCGGAUCUUGCGGUACAACUCGUAUGAAACGUAUGCAUCUUUUGUUGCAUACUCAAUGUUGAUACGAUCAAGUGGGGCCUUCUCCCAAAGUCUGUGCUGAGACUUUGGGAAUUUGGUCUUCAUAUCAGCAUACUCCUCGUCGAUCAAGGCGACUGCCAUAUGAGCCAUCGAAGUCCUCUCAUGUCGAAGC
rnacentral:lncRNA from 1 species